rnacentral:tRNA from 1 species
UGUUCUGUGGCGAAAUAGGUUAACGCGUCCUAGCGAACUUGGAGAGUCGUGGGUUCAAUUCCUACCAGAACUA